UACGUAGGGUCCGAGCGUUGUCCGGAUUCAUUGGGCGUAAAGAGCUCGUAGGCGGUUUGUCGCGUCUGUCGUGAAAGCUUGGGGCUUAACCCCAAGUCUGCGGUGGAUACGGGCAGACUAGAGGCAGGUAGGGGAGAACGGAAUUCCCGGUGUAGCGGUGAAAUGCGCAGAUAUCGGGAGGAACACCGGUGGCGAAGGCGGUUCUCUGGGCCUGUACUGACGCUGAGGAGCGAAAGCGUGGGGAGCGAACAGG
rnacentral:rRNA from 1 species